rnacentral:lncRNA from 1 species
CAACUGUCAAUCCAAUACCAAAAUUCCAAUCCACAAUCUUCAUUCCUUUACCUGGGGACACAAUUGGAGGAAUCAGUUUUGUUUGACAAGGUCUAAUUAUUCCAUGGCAGAGAGCCUCGUUCCCUUCAAAGCUUGAAUAAGGGAAUGUCAUAAACUGACCUCCUGAAGGUAUAUUCCCAUAGAGCUCAUUGUAUGAUACAUUGAAUUUUGACAAAAAGCUGAGAUGUACCAGAGAAUUAGGUAUUUCGCCAGAGAGUUUGUUACAAGACAAAUCCAACACUUCCAAGUUUGUCAUCCCUGAUACACUAUCUGGAAUGGUUCCUGAAAGUUUGUUCCCUUUCAAACUCAAAACAUGAAGCUUUUUCAAAUUUCCAAAGCUUAUCCAGAUUGGUCCGGUAAGCUUGUUGAAACUCAAGUCAAUAGUCGCUGGCAAGCCCCAUAUAUUGUUAUAAAUCAAGCGCGGCCCACCUUGUUCUAUGCUUUUUUCCAUUGGGAAGCCUGCCGAGAGUUCCUUCAGUUGAACAGUAUCGUUAACAAGACUAUCAAGUCCAGUUAAACUUUCUGGUAUUUCUCCGGAAAAGGAAUUGUUAGACAAGUCCAAGUAAAUGAGAUAUCUGAAAUCGCCUACCCAAAAAGGAAUGGACCCUCCCAAUGAAUUCCAAGACAGAUCCAGAAAUUGCAACAUUUUGCAACCCCUCAACCACAUUGGAAGGGAACCUCUAAGGUAACAAAAUGGAAUAAUAAGUGCCUUAAGACUUCUGAACUGCAAAUUGACGUUGCUAGGCAUCUGUUCGUGAUAAAAGUUCAAACCAAGGACCAGAAUGGUCAAGUUCUUGCAGUCUUGAAGAAUUUCAAGUGCUGUGGAUAUAUUAUUGAUGCUAGUGUUUGAGAGAGAGAGGAAUUGCAGUGCCUGCAGAUUUUUGAAGUGGAAUGGAAUCCCACCGGUGAAUUUGUUACGUGCAAGAUCCAGACUUCUCAAGCUCUGACAAAAGGAUAGACCAUCAGGAACUGGACCAUGAAAAUUAUUAGAAGCAAGACGAAGUGAGGUGAUACUGGUCAUUACAGAACAAUUUAUACUUACCGGACCAUCCAGACUGUUGUUGUGCAGAUCAAUCAUCAAAAUCGAAGGAGAAUUCACCAAAGAAAUAGGCAAUAAGCCACUUAAUAUGUUUGAGCCGGCAGAGAAGGACUCCAACUUUCUCAGUCUCCCAAAAACAUCUGGAAGACUUCCAUCGAAGCCAUUGGAAGAGAUAUCCAAUUCAACGAGGUUAGAGAUGUUACCAAUUCCGUAAUUCAGAGGCCCUGAGAACCUAUUUUCUUGAAGGUGCAGUAUUCUAAGAUGUUGUAACCGGAAUAAAUUCUCAGGGAAAGUUCCAGAUAGACCAUUGCCAUUAAGAUAAACAUACUGCAAUGAAGUACAAUUCUCCAAAUAUGUUGAAGUUUCUCCGAACAAGUUAUUUGCAAGAUCAAGAUACUGGAUAUUAGAAGAAGUUUUACAAAUUUCUGAGGUAAGGAUGCUAGAGAAAUAAUUCUUUGAAAGGUCAAAAUACUUCACUGAGGGCAAAUGGAUUAUGGUGGGAAGUGAACCAACGAAAUAAUUGUUACUCAAGUCAAGGACUUCCAGGUUCUGGAAACGAAACAAUUUGGUAGGAAUUUCACCAUCGAGAGAAUUAUGAGAGAGGUUCAGGAUUCGUAGUUGCUCCAGUCCAACCAAACUCUCACAUAUCGUUCCUGAAAGUCUUUUGUUCCCAAGUUCUAGCCCAACCACUCUUUCAUUUAAAACAGAGGAAUUAUCACAAGUGAUACCCGUCCAGGAGCAACAAUUGAGGCUGUUCCAGUUCCAUCCGCCAAUAUCUGAUUCUAAACACUUGAUGAAACCUUUGAGGGCUGUUAGGUCAUUCAAAUUGCAUGCCGGUUGUUGAGAUCCCUGGAUCCUUUGCCCAAACAUGACAGCCAACAAAAUGAAAGCCAAAGAGACCUUUGGGAUGCCCAUGAAGGUCAAUUUAACAAAGGGAAACAAAAGUUGUUACCGGUUUUUGCUAAGCUCUGAUGUUAUACAUUUUCCUUUUUUUUUUGGUUUCCUCUGUAACGUUUUAAGGGGGACGAAGGUCGCAGAACCCAUGACUUUGGUGGGAGCUUGGACAAUCCAUCACUGUUGCUUCUUGACUUCAAAGAUGAUUAAAUGAUCUUAUUGACUUUUUCAACCAAAAUUUGUCAACAUCCCCGUACGCGUUCGUUCAUAAACCCAUAGUUUCUGUCAAAAAAAAAAAAAAAGACCAUUGAUAAACUUCAUGUCCGCAUGAGAGUCGUUUUACAGUGAAGGUUUACCAAUAUUUUGACAAGAAAUAAUACAUUAACAUCCGAUUCACGCGUACCUGCCUCAAGAACAAUGUGUUGAUUAAUCAUUUCAUUGCUUUCCAUUAAUGGACUUUUUUGUUUAUAGGCCAAUGUGUAACAAAUGGUUAAUGUUUAAAGUCAUUAAAGUAAUAAUUAUUGUAAGCAUUAAUCAUUGCAAGCUACAAGCAACUUAUUGGUGUCAUGAGCUCCACUAUUAAUUUGAUGACUGUUGUAUGCUUAACUUUCAUUUUUAUGUGUGUAAAAAAUAAAAUUUAUUACAUCAUAAUUUAUAUUGACGAAAUAUAUAUUUAAUUUUUGUUAAACUCAUAAAUUUUUUAUUAAAAUACUAAAUAAAAAUAUUUUUAUAUCAUAUUAUUGUAUUUAAAUUUAUCAAAUUUAUUUGUAUAUACAAAUUCAAUCACUCAACUAUAGUUUGAUUGUAAAUAUAAAUGCAACCACUUAGAUAAAUAUUACCUUAUCCUCUUACUGAACUGGUGAGAUGAAAAUAAAAAAUUAAUAUUAAGUACUUUAUUUUAAAAGUUCAUUGAUAAAUUAUUUAUAUAUUUUCUAUUAUUAUUUAUAAUAUUAAAAAAAUCUUAAAAUUUUAAUCAAUAAGAUCAAUGAACAUGUUAUUUAUUAUAUAAUAAUAAAAUUUAUUUAUCAUAUAAUAAUAAAAUUUUAUUUAUUAUUAAUUAAUAAAAUUAUUUUAAAAUUUAUAAAUAAAAAAAUCAAAAUAAAAAAAAAGUAAAAUGGCAUGAAAAACCUUAUAACAUUAAGGGCAAAAAUAAUAAUAAUAACAAUGGGCAAAAUAGGAAUAAAAGCCACAAUUGAAUCUCGACAAAAGUUCCAAUAAAUACACGAUGGCUCUUACCUCCAGUGAAUGAACGGAGGCCCUCGCACCUCAACGGUGUUAUCCAAACACCCGGACGGUGCGAUUUGCACCAAAAAAAGGGGACCAAUUGCGCUGAAACGGAAGCGCGAUGGCUUCCAAAUGAGCCCUAAAUAGAUCAGAAUUGGAAAAGUCUUAACUAACUCAUGUUGAUGGGAUACUGUUGGGAGUAUUUAGUAUUUACUGUAAUUUUAGCAAAGCCUUUUUUUUAAUUUUACACGUAUUAGCUGGAUUUAUUUGCUUCUAAAAUACUGCUAGCUGCCCUUGUUCCCACUUAAUUUCACUUCAGUAGGAAGAGAGACUUCCAUCUAUUUGCCCAUAUGACAUGAGACAUCUUUCCUUGACUAACGCAAGGAAAACAAUGAAAACUCCUCCUCCAACUCUGUGACCUAAUUUGUUUUUUGGCUUUGCUUAGAAAAGUCCUUAAGAGAUGAUAAAGAAUAAUUCUUUUUCUUUUUAAUAUAUGUUAUAUGGUAUAGUUAUAAUCAUGGAUUUUUUAUAUGCUCAUGUCAUGUGCAACCAUAACAAACAUAUAUACUAUAUGAAUAUGAUGAUCUCAUACAGAACCCAAACCAUCAACAUAUAUGGGAAUAAAAGUAUAGUUUCUUUUUCCUGAUAAUUUCCAUCCUUAAAUUCUGAUAUGGCAAUAGACCAUGAUGAGGAAUGUAUCCCUUCCAGCUCUCUUCUUGAUAAAUCAUCCAUAAUGAGUACAUGAUAUGCAUCCAUGAUCCAUACAUGCCAAAAGUUGAGCCCGUUAUCUUACUUUUAUCUUAAACUUAUCUGUAAGAAGACAAAUCUGUCGCACUUAUUGAAGUGUUACUACGGAAUUUUGCAAUUCGGAAUUUUGGAAGAGGAUAGAAAGCCAUCACUUUGUUAUGACAGCGCUUCUGCUUGCAUGAUUAAUGCUUCAUUCAUACCCUUAAAAACUUAUUUCAUAGAGAAAAUUUUUUGAAUUCCUGACUUCAAUGUCAUAGAUGCCAAGCAAGAAUAAGGUUAAUUCCUGAAAAGAAGAGUUCAGUUGAUGAGUUCCAGAAAUCAAAGGGCUUGGAAGGUUGUGAUUAUGCAAAAUGCGCCGGAGAAUGGAAGCAUCCUGUUUGAACGAGCUGCUUUCGGGAUUGCAUCUAACAGCUAUAGCCAUAUAUUAUAGAAAUUUUACCGUUCUACGUUUUGCUAUGAUAGGAAUGAUGGUGUCUCCAAUUAUUUUACCUCAGUGGAAAGCAUCAGCUCUUUGUCUUCAAUUCUUUAGUUGAAAGGAAAAAGUUUAAGGUAGAGAUUCUGCAUAUUUCGUUAAUCAUUAUUUUUGCGAGAGUGGAAAUUGUAAAUUUGAAAAGUUGAUAGUAGGAUAUAAUUAUUUGGCUGACGUAACAAGACGUUUCAUUUUUCUUCUCUUGGAGUCAUAGAAGGUGAUGGCUUGAAGCAGCAGAAGUUCCAGACGGUGGCUGUUAUGGAAAAUAUCAUAAAUUAGAAGCAAAUUAGAACUAUGAUAGUAUGCUUUACGGUUUGUCUUAGAUCAUUACAACAUGAACAAAUUUAAGAGAAACAGAAGGAAGAAGAAAGAACCAUAUGGGGAAAAGCAGAGGAGCUAUAUAAAUAUAUAUAUAUAUAUAUAUUAUAAAGAAUAUGCUUCUCAUCCUUCGGAAAGUACCCAGCCAGACUUGAAGCAAAAGGCGACAGUGAGACCGAAACCAACUGCCGCUCCGAUACCAAAAUUCCAAUCCACAAUCUUCAUUCCUUUACUUGGAGAGACAAGUGGAGGAAUCAGUUUUGUCUGACAAGGUCUAAUUAUUCCAUUGCAGAGUUCCUCGUUCCCCUCAAAGCUUGAAUCAGGGAAUGUCAUAAACUGACCUCCUGAAGGUAUAUUCCCAUAGAGCUCAUUGUAUGAUACAU